CCCUUAGAUGUUCUGGGCUGAACGCGCGCUACACUGAAGCUAUCAACACGUUUUCCCUCCCUGAGAAGGGCGGGUAACCUUUUGAAUCAGCUUCGUGGUAGGGAUCGGGGCUUGCAAUUGUUCCCCGUGAACCAGGAAUUCCUAGUAGACGCGAGUCAUAAGCUCGCAUCGAUUAAGUCCCUGCCCUUUGUACACACCGCCCGUCGCUACUACCGAUUGAACGUUUUAGUGAGGCAUUUGGACCGACGCAUCUCAGUUUAACCGCUGGUUUGUGUUGGAAAGACUUCCAAACUUGAGCGUUUAGAGGAAGUAAAAGUCGUAACA
rnacentral:rRNA from 1 species